UCAUUGGGCAGGAGACUUUUUUGUAUUUUUCCUUCUCUUUUCUUCUCCUUCUUUCCUUCCUCUUCUCCUUCUUCGAAGAAGCUACUAGGUUCUUCUGAGAAAAAAAAAAAAAAAAAACCAACCGGUUUUUCCUUUCUUCUUGGUGCCAAUUUAGGCGCUCACAGUCUGAUCCCACCAAACUCAAUUUUCCAUCCCAUCAAAUUCUCUCUCUCUCUCUACGACGCUGAAUUCUUCUCUGUCUAAGAUUGACAAUUUCACUUUCUCAAACUAUUUUGCUUUAGAAGGGACAAUUCUGCAAGUACGCUCCUUCAUGUCUCAGUAAAAUCUUUUGAAUUGUAGAUUUCUCAUUAUGAAUGAAACUGUCAUGCGAAACGAAAUAUAGGCGCUUAGAGGAAAGGCUCGGAGAAAGAAAUUGUUGUCUCCAAAGGGCAUGGAUGUACGCCCAAUAAUGGAGGUUGUUAAAGGUGCUGCUUUUGGUAUAUUACAGCCAACGUUGUUCGAAACACAAUGUACGUUAGGAUUACCAUAAUUUCUGUCACGGUUUUGCCAAGGAGUAUGGUUUAUGUGCAAAGUAUUGUUGCUGUGUGAGCCAAACAAUUGGAAGGUUUGCUUCACAAAUAUUGAUGUUAUUUAAAUUACAAGGCUAUCAAGAACGCUCGAGAAAGGGACGGGACGUCUCUACUUCGGGCUUUGUGAAUUUUCAAGCACAAAUUCCUUCUCUCUUUGGUUAUAUUUCACUCUCACAGUCUCUCACACAUUGACUCUGAGAUCGCUUCAGCUUCUUAAAUCAGUUUUUUUUUUUUUUUUUGACAGAAUAGGCCUUCAGCAUGCGAGAAAACAUUACUUAUUACAAGAGAACAUCAAUAACAAUUUUACGAAUUGCAAAAUGAUUCACUUCGAAGGCGUCAACGACCUCUUUUAGUAAGGACAAGGUAUUAAGGAUUUUAAGAGGAAUGAAGAAUUACAGUACAAAACAAAAACCACAAGGCGUUUUUGAAUUCUUAUCCAAUCCCAUAAUUAUCUUCUUAAUUUCUCCAGCACGGGAGAAAAGCUCAUAAACUUGCUCUUCUGUUGUAUAAAAGGGCAUAUUCCCAAUGUAGACAUUGUUGAGGCCAGAAGUGCUUGUUAUUACUAUAUACUUAAGGAGAGAGGGAUUCACUGUUCAUUAGACAGUAAAUGAACAGUGAAUUUCCGGAUUUGUCCUUUGGCCUGCCUCCUUCCCUAUCUGCCCAGGGGUGUUAUGGGCAUGUU